AGAAGAAGUUUGCAGCAUUGAUUCUCCAGGGUGGUCCAAAGAUAGCCUGCAUCAACAUCAUUUGGAGAUUUUGUUACCAAUGUUUAUUUCCAGUAUUAUUGGAGACCUACUCCUGAGACAGUCUCUGCAAGGGGCUGGGAAGCCCUACAAUUUUCAAGCUUCUCGGAUGAUGCUGAUGAGCCACACUUUGAGGAAUAAAGCUGUACUCUGUUUCACUGAGGGAACCGAUCACUGAUGGAGAGGAUGUUUUCCUGGUAUUCUAGCCGAGAGAGUGGGCAGGAGGAGGAGCUUUCAUUGAAGUGAUUCUCUCAGCUGUAUAGGAAGCACCCCGGGUCUGCUCAACAGAAAAGCCACAGUUCAUGGACUUGGUGGUAUCGGAGGUGCCAAGGGCUGGAAGCCAAAGUUCAGUUUCCUCUUAAGCAGCAAGUUCUUUUGCGUAAGUCCAACCUGCUGACUUGCUCCGUGUAAGUGCUUUUGUUUUUAUCUCAAGGCUAUUCUUAAGUUAAUUAGUUGCAAUUACUAGCUCUGCUGCAGUGGAAUGCAUAGUAACAGAAGGGGGAAAUGAGGCCAUCAGGGAGAUGCAGUUGAGUGUUCUGAGACAACAUACAGAGGAACUGCAAUUCGUUACACUCACCAAUUAAGUCCGAAAAAAGAAAAAACAACAACAACAACAAUAAAACCAAAACUUGCUCCAAAUAGAAACACAAAGGAUGAGGCAAAUAUACUUACACAGUGUUUGUUAUAAUGUCUGCCCACAUCCAGAGGCCACGAAAUGUCCCUAAGGAUGGUUUCCCAUGACAGUAAGCCACAGCAGGCAGAAAGAGCAGUGGGGCUUGUUAAGAGCUAUAGAUUCAAAAGCUUCUUUUUAUUAGCUGUCAGUCUAAUUUCUAUUGGGGCCAGUCAGUUCCAU
rnacentral:lncRNA from 10 species